GACGAACGCUGGCGGCGUGCUUAACACAUGCAAGUCGAACGGAAAGGCCCUGCUUUUGUGGGGUGCUCGAGUGGCGAACGGGUGAGUAACACGUGAGUAACCUGCCCUUGAUUUUGGGAUAACUUCAGGAAACUGGGGCUAAUACCGGAUAGGAGCUCCUGCUGCAUGGUGGGGGUUGGAAAGUUUCGGCGGUUGGGGAUGGACUCGCGGCUUAUCAGCUUGUUGGUGGGGUAGUGGCUUACCAAGGCUUUGACGGGUAGCCGGCCUGAGAGGGUGACCGGCGACAUGGGGACUGAGAGACGGCGCAGACGCGUACGGGAGGCAGCAGGGGGGAAUAUGGCAGAAUGGGCGGAAGCCUGAGGCAGAAACGCCGCGUGCGGGAUGACGGCCUUCGGGUGGUAAACCGCUUUCGCAGGUGACGAAGCGUGAGUGACGGUAAUGGGUAAAGAAGCACCGGCUAACUACGUG
rnacentral:rRNA from 1 species